rnacentral:lncRNA from 1 species
AUGUCAUUGAACAUGGACCGGCUCAAACACCAGGUCAUGAUCAACCAGUUCAUGCUGAUAACAGGCUAAGCAGCCGAUCAGGCAAAGCAACUGCUGCAAGCAGCCCAGUAGCAGUUCGAGACACCCCUCAGUGCCCUUUUCCAGGAGACCAACAUCCCCUACAGCCACCACCACCAGAUGAUGUUCACUCCGGCCAACACCCCUGCCACGCCCCCCAACUUCCCUGAUGUUCUCACCAUGUUCUCCUAUCCUAAGACCUCUGAAAGCAUCUAUGGUGGUGGCAGCAGCUGCAGCCCAAUGGCCACUUUGGUCACGUCACCCCCACUGCACUUCCCCCAUGCCACUGGCAGCUUUGCAACACCCAGCAGGCCAACUGCAGCCUCGCCCCCAGGAGGCCCACAGCACCACCAGUCGCAGCCGCCCCUGUGGACACGAGCACCCCCUUCGCCAACUUCAGACUGGCCUUCCCUGGCUCCCCAACGGGUCACCUUAGAAACAAGGGCCCACUCUGCCAUUGAGGCAGAGAGA